AAAAUGCUAUUCACCAAUAGGCUUAAAUAAUUAUCAAUGUGGCAAUUAAGCAGUGAGCGCUUUAAUAAAAUACAAUGAUCCACUGCUUAUAAAAUGACUGACUGCAGAUAUUAAUGGUGGGUUCCAGUGUACACAGUUUUCUCCCACACGUACACACACCCACCUAUCUUGCAGUCUCAAUGCUAGACUGUCUCUUGUUUCUCUCUCACACCGCUUAGACAUUCUGACUCUAGUGUCUCCUUUCUUUUCUUUGUCACCGGUUUUCUCCUCGACACCCUUCAUUCAGUUUGAAUUUCCAGCAUUGUAAACGUACAUUCAGUUCCUUAUCCGUGACCCCCCCUUCCCCCAUUCGGCGAUAAGAUUUUCAAGAGAACUAGUGGGCGACACCAUAUCAAGUGAUCCAUUAAGAAAUGGGGAUUGCCUUAGUGGAAACGUAAAACUGUCAGCGGUUAAGAACGCUGUGACCUUUUGUGUGCUUUACCUGGAAAUGUUUCUGCUGUGGGGGAAGAUUUCAAGGAAUUCAGCUAGGUCCUGAGCUGACGAAUGGCAGCUCUUUCAUGCUGAAAUAUCGACUUGAUGCUAAUAUGGAGAAUUACUUUUACAGGUUAAAAUGCGUGUGAGGCUCAAGUCUCCAUUGGCUCUAGUUGUCCUUCUGCAUCACUUUCAGUACAUUGUCUCCUCACAUCCUCCCUCUCAGCCCCACCUACAGGUGAUGAGCUCAUCUCUGUGGUUGCCUUAGUCACCUAACAACACGUCUGAGAAGCCGGCGGAAGCGCAGCGGAGAGGACCUGAACUGAGAAAACACUGGAACAAAGCACAGCGUAGAUGCUGGUGAUGUCAGUACUGUGCCAAGCUGAGCACGACAGGCCGUGAUGACAGCAACAACCUCCAUCCUCCAACCCGUGAUGACUCAUUCCAGUGUUUCACCAAGAGAAUGGACAGCCAUUAUAGGACUUACAGUUUGAUGUGGAAAUGUGAUGUGUGGUCAGGAAAUGCAUUCCUGAUUAGUACAAAAGAAAAAAAAAAAAAAAAAAAAAAAAA